GUUCUUCUUCCUUGCGGGAUUUCAGGCAAGAUGACCGCUACCCUGGAUCUCACUACUAUCAUUGCUAUGCUAGUUGCUUCGUUCUAUCGCUAUGCUGCGCUACCUAUUACCUGUUUGUCCAGCCAUCCCAUAUUGCCAUGAACCCCUAACCUUUGACACCUUUCCUAUGCAAACCGUUGUUUGGCUAUGUUACCGCUUUUGCUCAGCCCCUCUUAUAGCGUUGCUAGCUGCAGGUGAAGUUGAAGAUUUUCUCCAUGGUGGACAGGAUUUUGGUUGGGAUAUCACAAUAUCUCUUAUAUUAUUAAUGCAUCUAUAUACUUGAUAAAGGGUGGAAGGCUCGGCCUUAUGCCUGGUGUUUUGUUCCACUCUUGCCGCCCUAGUUUCCGUCAUACCGGUGUUAUGUUCCCGGAUUUUGCGUCCCUUACGCGGUCGGGUGAUUUAUGGGACCCCCUUGACAGUUCGCUUUGAAUAAAACUUGUCCAGCAAGGCCCAACAUUGACUUUUACCAUUUGCCUCACCACCACCUACCUUUUCCCUUGGGAGUCGCUCUCUCGAGGGUCAUCUUUAUUUUAGCCCCCCCGGGCCAGUGCUUGUCUAAGUGUUGGUCCGAACCGGGCAGGGGGCAACUCGAGGGCUGGUUUUACUCGUAGGCUGACCUAUCCGGUGUUGCCCUGAGAACGAGAUAUGUGCAGCUCCUAUCGGGAUUGUCGGCGCAUCGGGCGGCUUUGCUGGUCUUGUUUUAACAUUGUCGAAAUGUCUUGAUGUACCGGGAUACCGAGUCUGAUCGGAGUGGCUCGGGUGAAGGUCUAUUCCUUCGAUGAUCGCGAGAGCUUGUCAUGGGCUAAGUUGGGACACCCCUGCAGGGUUUAAACUUUCGAGAGCCGUGCCCGCGGUUAUGUGGCAGAUGGGAAUUUGUUAAUGUCCGGUUGUAGAUAACUUGACACUUGAUCCGAAACUAAAACGCAUCAACCGCAUGUGUAGCCGUGAUGGUCUCUUCUCGGCGGAGUCCGGGAAGUGAACACGGUUUCUGUGUUAUGUCUGACGUAAGUAGGUGUUCAGGAUCACCUCUUGAUCAUUGCUAGCUUCACGACCAUUCCGCUUGUUUCUCUUCUCGCUCUUAUUUGCGUUGGUUAGCCACCAUACAUUGCUUAGUCGCUGCUGCAACCUCACCACCUUACCCCUUCCUUUCCCAUUAAGCUUUGCUAGUCUUGAUACCCAUGGUAAUGGGAUUGCUGAGUCCUCGUGGCUCACCAGAUACUUCCAAAACCAGUUUGCAGGUGCCUAUGUUACCGGGCAGGUGACGCAACCAAGCUCAAGGAGGAGCUCGAUGAAGAUCUUGCCCUUUGUGUUGUAUCGUUCUAGUUGUUCAGUAGUGGAGCCCAGUUGGGGUCGAUCGGGGACCUUUGUCGCUUUUGGGGUUCUUCUUUUAUUUUGGUUCCGUAGUCGGACCUUGAUCGUAUCUGGAUGAUGUAAUGCUUUAUUCAUGUAAUUGUGUGAAGUGGCGAUUGUAAGCCAACUAUGUAUCUCUUUCCCUUAAGUAUUACUUGGGUUGUGUGAUGAUUACCUCACUUGCGACUUUGCUUUCAAUGCGGUUAUGCCUCUAAGUCGUGCUUCGACACGUGGGAGAUAUAGCCGCAUCGAGGGCGUUACAAGUUGGUAAUUAGAGCCUUCCCCGACCUUAGGAGCCCCACUGCUUGAUCGUUUUUAGCGGCCGAGUUGUGUCUAGAAAAAUGUUUUGAGUCAUUUAGGAUUUUAUAUAUCGGAGAGUUAGGAAUUCUUUUUACUCCUCAGUCCCUUCAUCGCUCUGGUGAGGUCUCCUGACGUAGAGUUUUGACUCUUCUCUUCUCAAAUUUCACUAAUUUUUUUUAGGAUCACGCGGGUAUCUUAGAAUCGUUCCGAUGGUUUUAUGAUGACAACAUUGUCUUGGUGCCUCCCGUCAGCAGGGGUUUUUUUUAGUGGAGGUGUCCCGGGGAGUUGAGCUCUGAGGUGUUGUCGUCAUAAUUUUAUCGUUGCAGUUCUGGAAUACCUGAGUUUAGUACGCCGACAUCGAAAAUCUCUUUUAUGCAGUUGUUGGUGAGAUAACCCCGAUAACCCAGUACUGAGGUGAGUACGGGAGUAUUGCCAUGACUCGUAUAACGGAUUCUUUUCGAAGGUUGAGGUACACGAUUUCCGAAGGUUUCUUGGUUAUGUGUUGACGGAUGGAUACAGCUGGAUGUAGGUAUUGUUAGUUUGGGUGAGAUAUAUUGCUUCCCCUGUAUCCCCAACACCAGAUUGCAUAACCAGAAAGUUUCGGGAGUUUUAUAGGUGGGAAUUCAAGUAGCUCCUAGAAUAUCUUUUCGACAGAUGCAUGAUAUGGGAUUGGGUAAAUCUCUAUCAUAUGUUUGUUCCGGCUUAUUCUGCAAGCCAGUCCUUUGUUUUUGUUUUGAGUUGUGGUAUUCGAGUUGCUUCGAAGUCAAAUGUUGAAUCCAUACCUUUCCUAGCGGUGUUCUCAUAUUUCUAUGGGAGUACUAAUCCUUUUGAUCAUCGAGAUUGUCAUGUUAAUUCUUUUCCAACCGGUGUGCUUCUCUUCAAGUGGAUCCGAUCAUUCUCCCCAUCCGCAAGAUCAAUUCUAAGUUUUCUCAACGGUGUUUGUUUCAUCCGUCCCAAGUUGCCUUUGUUUUUCCCGCCCUCCCACCCUCUUUCUUCAAGGACACAGAUUUCUUAAUCAAGUAUCCAUUUAUUCAUGUGAAGUCUCUUCAUUCUUUUCAAUCAAUGUUCUUAUCCGAUGAUUUCCCAUGAAGACGCUCACGAGCUUCUAGUUCAUCAUCCUUCAUUGUUGUUUCUUUUCCGGUGGAUCCAUAUCAAGCUUUUGAUAUUCAUCAUAUCCCUUUCCUUGUUUCAAAUGCUUUUUAAUACCGAUGCAACUCUUAAUCAUUCACUUCUUCCUAUUCAUUUGUUCUGGAGUGCUCAAGAUAUCUCACAAGAUUCGUGUUUUCCAUUCUUAAUCCGUUCAAGCUAUUUGGAGAUUAUUAUCCCAUUCAAGUCAUUUAAUUCAACCGGUGCAAUCCCCUCUUUCAAUCAAUUGUUCAACGGUGUUCUUUUGAGUGGGCCCUAACCCACAUGUCUUUUCCCAGGAUCUUACCUGACUCUUCUAUUUUCCCAGAGCUAUCCUAAAUUCUUCUCCAAGUUUGACGUAAGAAUGAGUUAUCAUCAGUCAAAUGCUUUUCUCCAAGAUCUUUCAAAUUCUUUUCAUUGUUGGCUCAACCUUUUCGGUUUUCAUUCUGCCGGAGUAUCUAAGUAAUUUUGGUGUUGUUUCUCGUCAUCAUUUGAAGAUCGAAGAAGAGUUCCUCUUAAAUCCUUACCCGUUCUUCCAAAGAGGUGUAGUUUAAGCUUGAUGCCAUCCUCCCAUAAUUGUUUUCGAUUGUGAGAAUUCUUUUUACCCAUCCGGAGCAUUUCAUGAGUUGUUUCCAUUUCUUUCCUCGAAGGCCAUCAUGCCAUAAUUCUUCAUUCUCAGAUUUGAGCUUUCAUUCUCCAAAUCAUACCGGUGCAUCAUUCAAGUAUUCUCUAAUCAGUUCAUGAUCUCUUCAUUCUCAUGUAUCUAAAUCCCCUCAAGUAUCUUCAUUCGUUUUCCAAUUCUUCCUGGUGAAUUGUGCCUUUGCUACGUUCAAUUUCAAUUCUUACGGUGGUUCGUUCAAGAUUUCACUUCCUUCGUUAUCAUAUCAAUUCAUUUGUUGUUCCAAUCCUACCGGUGGUUCGUCAAGGAUUCUUUUCAUUCUUCAAUUGUUCUUCAAGAUUUCUCUUGAAGUUAUGAUCCGCCAAGCUAUACUCAAAAUUAAACAUGGUGCUCAGCUCAUGUUUUGUUUUGAGGAGUUCAAGUAUUCUUCUUCUUGCAUUCCAAAGUGCAAUUCUUUCUACCUUAUCUUUUGAGGUGGUGUUAUGUCACUCUUGACAAUUUCCUUCAUGUUUCAUGAUUCAUAUGUUGUCAAGAAUGAGGUAUAUUAAAUCCAUCAAUCUCUUCCUUGGAGUUAUCUUGGUAUAGAUUUCACCUAAAGCCUUCCCUAAGGAAUGUUGCUAUUAUGGUGUUUAUCAAUGAUCCAAGUUUUCUCCUAUCCUCUCGGCGAAAGCAGUUUUUCAUAUCUUUGGUGCUCUAAAUCAAAUCAAUGGUUUCCGUUAGUGGCCGGUUGUCACCUCAUAGUUUUGAGAUGUUUUCCAUAAGCCACUACAAGCUUGUUCUUUUCGUUGUUGGUUUUCCAACAACUCCAUUCUAAACUUCUAGGAAGGGUGCUUUCCGAGCCCAUUUGUGGCAGAAGUUGGCAUUUUCUUCUCCGUUCUUUUAUUCCAAUGGUCUAUCUUCUAUUCUUUCUUCCGAAGGCAAUGUGAUGUUGCUCUUUUCACUCAUCAUCUCGAAUUGUGAGGAUCAUGAUCUUUUCUUGCUUAUCCAUUUAACCGGAGUGUCAUGUACUCUUUUCAAGUUCUUUCAUCUUAUCAAGUUUUGCCCCCUUCUCAACCGGAGUGCUGUCUGAAAUCUUUCUUACCCCUUGUGCCAUUCUUUCAAUAGUUCCAGAGGCAGUGUAUUGUUGAUUUCAUCAAGUAUCUUCUCAUCUUGUCAAGUUCAUGUUCAAUUCCUUCCAUUUACAAUCGGAGUGCUGCCCGAAUUCUUCCCCUCUCAUCUUGUUUUAACCGGAGUGGUUUCGAAUUCUAUCUUGUCCAUUAAACUAUUGAUUCAUGUCUUUGCAACCUUCAAGUUCUCGUAAUACUCCUUGUUCAUCUUUUCUAACGGAUUGUUUGCAAUCUUUGUCAUCUCCGUUAUUUUGUUUCUUUCAAUGUGUUCAACCUCUCAAGGUUCUUUGGUUUCACUAUUUUGUCGAAGAAGCAACUUAGUUUACCUCUUAUCUUCCUCUUUCGUUUUCCCUCCGGUGCCAUCCUAGAUCUCGGGACGAGAUCCUCUCGUAGUGGUGGAGUGUUGUAACGCCCCGGACCUGAUGCGCCAGGUGUCCGCCAGUUAUUCGCCGUCGUUGCCAUGUCAUUUGCUUGCGUGUUGCAUUUUGCCAUGUCAUCAUCUGCAUUUCAUAUCAUGUCAUCAUGUGCAUUUCAUUUUGCAUACAUGUUCGUCUCAUGCAUCCGAGCAUUUUCCCCGUUGUCCGUUUUGCAAUCCGGCGCUCCUAUGUCAUCCGGCGUCCCCUUCUUCUCUCCUGUUGUGAGCGGGUAUUAAACUUUCUCAUAAUGGCCCGAGGUUUGCCAAGCGGCCUUGGUAUAGCACCGGUAGACCGCCUGUCAAGUUUCGUGCCAUUUGGAGGUCGUUUGGUACUCCAACGGUUAACUGGGUAACCGCAAAGCCUCUUUUGUUUGCAGCCCAACACCCCUUCCAAAGUGGCCCAAAACCCACCAAACUCUCCUCCAUGCUCUCGGUCGUUCGAUCACGAUCGCGUGGCCGAAAACCGCACCUCAUUUGGACUCUCCUAGCUCCCUCUACCUAUAUAUUAGCCUCCCCCUCCGAAAUUUUACAUUCUGGACCCAUGUUCAUCGCAUCACAUCUUCGCACCCGUAGCUCCGUUUUGCGCGUGUAAUAUGUCAAAUUGUUCGCCUCGACGAGUACUUCAUUUCAUUCCAUUGCAUCAUUUUCAUUUGAGCUCAUCUUGAUGCCCGAAAUGCUGUUGGAAAAGUGCAUGUUGAUGUUAAUCUGCUGAAACUGUUAUAACUUGCUGUUUUAUCAUUUUUGCCAUGAUUUAUGUGUGCAUCCUAUGAGUAUGAGCUCCACAUGAAUGUUGGACUAUGACAUUCCAUCUUUCCAGAGGUGUUUACCUUGUAUUUUUGUGAUUUGUGUGCUGAGUGCAUUGAGCUUGUAAAGUAGGGUAGUUGUUGUUGCUGUUUUCCUGACAGAUUCUGUUAUAUUUUGUUGCUAUGUUAACAUGCUUCCACUAAUCAUUCUAUGCAUAAUAUGGAGAUGCUCUAUAAACAUGUUUUGAUAUACAUGUCUUGCUAUAUCCAUUCAUGCCCUUGGUUGAAAUUAUGGCCUGCUGGAACAUGUUCAUUUCUUGCUCCAAAGUUGCUUGAAAAUGUUGUUUGUCAGCCUGUUAACAUUAAGUUCACUUGUUCCCAUGUGUUUUCCUAGUGAUCCAUGUAUCCUAUGAACUUGAUCCUGCCAUGCUUAGCUUCACAAACAUGCCUUCUUACUGUUGGUUGCCUUUCCAUGCCAUGUAUUUCUCUGUGGUGAGUGGUUCAAGCUCACGAACAUGCCUACUUAUUAUUGUUUCUGCCAUGUUUAAAUCUGUAAUAUAACUUGCCAUGUUUACAUGGGUGCCAUCAUAUUUUCCGUGCCUUUUUGGCUCAUGGUCAGUAAGGGUCUUUUGAUAUAUGCUAUUAGUAGAUUCAUGCCAUGCCUUUGUUUGCCAUGAUAUGUUCCUGUAACAUGUUGUUUGAUAGCUCUAAACAUUGCAACCUGAUGUUAUUUCUGCAAAGUCUGAAACUGUUAUUAUUUGCAAUAUCUCCAUGUCCUUUUUGAGCAUGUUCUAGUUGUUUCUCGAGAUAGCUUAGUGUUCAUGUUUUGUUAUGCUUUACGUGUACUUAAUGCCCAUGCCUUUUGUUAUUAUGUUGGGGUGCUGUAGCAUGUUGUUUUGAUGCUUGUAAGAUGCCUAGUUGCUGUUUUGGACAGAUUGUUGUUAUGACUUGUAUAGUGUGCAUGUGUUGAACCGUUGCUCCGUUUUGAGUGUGCUCUAUAUGAAACUUGCUUGUUUUUGCAUGUAGCUUCAUAUUACCAUGUUGCAUCCUUGUUUUGGUGUGUUUGCUUGAUGUUUGGGUGCAUUUUGCAUCAAUGCCAUGCUUAACUUGUUUUGCUCAUAUCUUUUAGACCGUAGCUCCAAAUCUAAUAAACUUUAUAUGUAACUUGACUAGAAUUUCGUGUAGAUUCUCUUGGUGCUCUUUAACUUACUGUUUAACAACUUGAACAUAAGGUUUAUUCAGUUCUGGACCAAUUUCGAAAUAUGCAUAUGAGGACUUACCGGAAUUGUCAUAUGUUGUUCCCGGCCUCAUUUAAACUUGCCUUGAUGUGUUCUUGUAUGCAUCAUCUCUUACCAUGAGUAGCUUCAUGUAGCUUUGUUAUGCAUCAUGCUUGUUGUGCAUCAUGCCUUGUUCAUGUGUGGUGUGUUUACCUACGUUGUGUGCUUCUUCUUGUUAGUUCCUGUUUCGUUGCGAUCGUGAGGAUUAGUUCGUCUACGGUUGGUUCGGCUCCAUCCGUUCAUCUUCUUCAUGGACUCGUUCUUCUUCCUUGCGGGAUUUCAGGCAAGAUGACCACUACCCUGUAUCUCACUACUAUCAUUGCUAUGCUAGUUGCUUCGUUCUAUCGCUAUGCUGCGCUACCUAUUACCUGUUUGUCCAGCCAUCCCAUAUUGCCAUGAACCCCUAACCUUUGACACCUUUCCUAUGCAAACAGUUGUUUGGCUAUGUUACCGCUUUUGCUCAGCCCCUCUUAUAGCGUUGCUAGCUGCAGGUGAAGUUGAAGAUUUUCUCCAUGGUGGACAGGAUUUUGGUUGGGAUAUCACAAUAUCUCUUAUAUUAUUAAUGCAUCUAUAUACUUGGUAAAGGGUGGAAGGCUCGGCCUUAUGCCUGGUGUUUUGUUCCACUCUUGCCGCCCUAGUUUCCGUCAUACCGGUGUUAUGUUCCCGGAUUUUGCGUCCCUUACGCGGUCGGGUGAUUUAUGGGACCCCCUUGACAGUUCGCUUUGAAUAAAACUUGUCCAGCAAGGCCCAACAUUGACUUUUACCAUUUGCCUCACCACCACCUACCUUUUCCCUUGGGAGUCGCUCUCUCGAGGGUCAUCUUUAUUUUAGCCCCCCCGGGCCAGUGCUUGUCUAAGUGUUGGUCCGAACCGGGCAGACUGCGGGGCCACCUCGGGGCAACUCAAGGGCUGGUUUUACUCGUAGGCUGACCUAUCCGGUGUUGCCCUGAGAACGAGAUAUGUGCAGCUCCUAUCGGGAUUGUCGGCGCAUCGGGCGGCUUUGCUGGUCUUGUUUUACCAUUGUCGAAAUGUCUUGAUGUACCGGGAUACCGAGUCUGAUCGGAGUGGCUCGGGUGAAGGUCUAUUCCUUCGAUGAUCGCGAGAGCUUGUCAUGGGCUAAGUUGGGACACCCCUGCAGGGUUUAAACUUUCGAGAGCCGUGCCCGCGGUUAUGUGGCAGAUGGGAAUUUGUUAAUGUCCGGUUGUAGAUAACUUGACACUUGAUCCAAAACUAAAACGCAUCAACCGUGUGUGUAGCCGUGAUGGUCUCUUCUCGGCGGAGUCCGGGAAGUGAACACGGUUUCUGUGUUAUGUCUGACGUAAGUAGGUGUUCAGGAUCACCUCUUGAUCAUUGCUAGCUUCACGACCGUUCCGCUUGUUUCUCUUCUCGCUCUUAUUUGCGUUGGUUAGCCACCAUACAUUGCUUAGUCGCUGAUGCAACCUCACCACCUUACCCCUUCCUUUCCCAUUAAGCUUUGCUAGUCUUGAUACCCAUGGUAAUGGGAUUGCUGAGUCCUCGUGGCUCACCAGAUACUUCCAAAACCAGUUUGCAGGUGCCUAUGUUACCGGGCAGGUGACGCAACCAAGCUCAAGGAGGAGCUCGAUGAAGAUCUUGCCCUUUG
rnacentral:lncRNA from 1 species